rnacentral:rRNA from 1 species
CCCUUAGAUGUUCUGGGCCGCACGCGUGCUACACUGAGUGGAUCAGCGGGUCAGGUUGCGCGAAAGUGUUUCCUAAUCUUGAAAUCCGCUCGUGAUGGGGAUUGACGGUUGCAAUUUUCUGUCAUGAACGAGGAAUACCUUGUAAGCGCGGGUCAUCAUCCCGCGCUGAAUACGUCCCUGCCCUUUGUACACACCGCCCGUCGCUCCUACCGAUUGAGUGGUCCGGUGAGGCUUUGGGAUCUGGAUGGAAGGAGCGUUUCGCUGUUUCUGCCCGGAAAACUCAGUCGAACCUUAUCAUUUAGAGGAAGGAGAAGUCGUAACA